CCUACGGGAGGCUGCAGUGAGGAAUAUUGGUCAAUGGACGAGAGUCUGAACCAGCCACGUAGCGUGAAGGAUGACUGCCCUCGGGGUUGUAAACUUCUUUUAUAUGGGAAUAAAAUGUUCCACGUGUGGGAUUUUGUAUGUACCAUAUGAAUAAGGAUCGGCUAACUCCGUGCCAGCAGCCGCGGUAAUACGGAGGAUACGAGCGUUAUCCGGAUUUAGUGGGUGUAAAGGGAGCGUAGGUGGAUUGUUAAGUCAGUUGUGAAAGUUUGCGGCUCAACCGUAAGAUUGCAGUUGAAACUGGCAGUCUUGAGUACAGUAGAGGUGGGCGGAAUUCGUGGUGUAGCGGUGAAAUGCGUAGAUAUCACGAAGAACUCCGAUGGCGAAGGCAGUUCACUGGACUGCAACUGACACUGAGGCUCGAAAGUGUGGGUAUCAAACAGGAUUAGAUACCCUAGUAGUC
rnacentral:rRNA from 1 species